AACUAAAUAAUUUAAGUAAAAAUAAUAAUUUUGUAAUUUAUAAAUAAAUUAAAUUAUAAUUAUAAUUA
rnacentral:tRNA from 1 species